rnacentral:misc_RNA from 1 species
CAGAGUUGCAAGACUCCCUAAACCAUUGUGAAACCUACCUUCUACCGUUGCUUCGGCGGGCGGGCCCCAGCGCCCCCCCCGGCCCCCCGCGGGCGGCCCGCCCGGAGGAUACCCAAACUCUUUGACAUUAGUGGCCUCUCUGAGUAUUCUUUACUGAAUAAGUCAA